rnacentral:tRNA from 1 species
GGGAGCUUAGCUCAGUUGGUUCAGAGCAUCUGCCUUACAAGCAGGGGGUCACAGGUUCGAAUCCUGUAGCUCCCA